rnacentral:rRNA from 1 species
UACACUCCUGCGGGAGGCAGCAGUGGGGAAUUUUGGACAAUGGGCGAAAGCCUGAUCCAGCAAUGCCGCGUGCAGGAUGAAGGCCUUCGGGUUGUAAACUGCUUUUGUACGGAACGAAAAAGCUCCUUCUAAUACAGGGGGCCCAUGACGGUACCGUAAGAAUAAGCACCGGCUAACUACGUGCCAGCAGCCGCGGUAAUACGUAGGGUGCGAGCGUUAAUCGGAAUUACUGGGCGUAAAGCGUGCGCAGGCGGUUAUGUAAGACAGAUGUGAAAUCCCCGGGCUCAACCUGGGAACUGCAUUUGUGACUGCAUGGCUAGAGUACGGUAGAGGGGGAUGGAAUUCCGCGUGUAGCAGUGAAAUGCGUAGAUAUGCGGAGGAACACCGAUGGCGAAGGCAAUCCCCUGGACCUGUACUGACGCUCAUGCACGAAAGCGUGGGGAGCAAACAGGAUUAGAUACCCUUGUAGUCCCAUGA